UACGUAGGGGGCUAGCGUUGUCCGGAAUCAUUGGGCGUAAAGCGCGUGUAGGCGGUCCGGUAAGUCCGCUGUGAAAGUCGGGGGCUCAACCCUCGAAUGCCGGUGGAAACUGUCGGGCUAGAGUACGGAAGAGGCGAGUGGAAUUCCUGGUGUAGCGGUGAAAAUGCGCAGAUAUCAGGAGGAACACCAAUUGCGAAGGCAGCUCGCUGGGACGUUACUGACGCUGAGACGCGAAAGCGUGGGGGAGCAAAACAGG
rnacentral:rRNA from 1 species